rnacentral:rRNA from 1 species
UACGGAGGGUGCAAGCGUUGUCCGGAAUCACUGGGCGUAAAGGGCGCGUAGGCGGCCUGGUAAGUAGGGGGGUGAAAUCCUGCGGCUUAACCGCAGGGCUGCCUUCUAAACUGUCAGGCUUGAGCACGGUAGAGGCAGAUGGAAUUCCCGGUGUAGCGGUGGAAUGCGUAGAGAUCGGGAAGAACAUCAGUGGCGAAGGCGGUCUGCUGGGCCGUUGCUGACGCUGAGGCGCGACAGCGUGGGGAGCGAACGGG